UACAGGGGGGGCAAGCGUUGUUCGGAAUUACUGGGCGUAAGGGCUCGUAGGCGGCCAACUAAGUCCGACGUGAAAUCCCAAAGCUUAACUUUGGAACUGCGUCGGAUACUGGAUGGCUUGAAUUCGGGAGAGGGAUGCAGAAUUCCAGGUGUAGCGGUGAAAUGCGUAGAUAUCCGGAGGAACACCGGUGGCGAAGGCGGCUUCCUGGACCGACACUGACGCUGAGGCGCGAAAGCUAGGGGAGCAAACGGG
rnacentral:rRNA from 1 species